AUGUGUUUACAGUUCCAUCUCCUUCAACAUCACAACUGCAGCCACAUCAGUCAAUUUCUGGCAACCGGCAGAAUCAAGGAAGUGUGAAUGAUCCACAAUCUCUUCGAGUUGUUUGGAGAGGAGAAUCAUGCUGAAACUAGAACAAAUCCAGGACAACAUCACAGCAGCGUUAGGAACAAUGCAGCAGUCAAUGAGCCAGCCAAGCACAUCUGUCUCUGAUCUUAUAGAGGUGCUUAGAGGUGCCUUGUAAGACUGUGGAGGAAUUAAAAGAGCUGUGUGAUAAGCUGAAAGUUGCUGACUUUCGAAAGAAGAUGGUAUGUGCCACGACACAAGCAACAUUACGAGUCAUUGUUAACCUGAAAUCAUUUAAAACAAUUUACUCUUGUGAUUAAUUGCUGAAUGUUGUUUGUAGAUUCGUUAUCUGUGUCUUCAGAGUGGAGGCAGCUUGGGAGAUGGAAUUAGGAGGAUGCUGAAAAAAAUUACAGUUACAAAGGGAGAAAGGGAAAACGUAAAUUUCAGCAGCUCCUAAUCAAUGAUGUCAUCACACAUAAGUUUCAAAACUUGUCACUAAUAACUAAUAAUGUGUCUGUGUCAAUACCCAAGAUCUCAAAAAUGUUUUGGAAUGCAGAAAGGUUGUAAAUAAGAAUGUACAUUGUAAAUGUAAAAGUUGUUAUUUCUCAGUACAUAAAUAUUCAUACCAUGGUCUAUUAUGAAAACAAGAGUAAUGUUGAUGCUUUUUGAAUAGAACUUUAGUCUGAGUUCUAGUUUAAAUAACUGUGAUCUCUGUAUUGACUCAAGGUGGCUGCAGUAAGGCAUACUCACACCAAAAUCCCAGAGUGUGGAGGAAAUGAUUGCUGUGACCCUAAAACAUGCCCCAUAUCAUGCAAAAACAGCAAAGGAGGUUAGAAGCCAACGAGAAGAAUUGCCAUCAGAAUAACCCCGACCACAGCUGACAACCAGACACACACACACACACAUACACACACACACACAAACACACGGAAAGAGCACAGCACCUUUACAAUUGUUCAAUUAAAAUAAAUGUACUUUGUUCCUUACAAUUUGUCACGUGUGUUUUCUCUGGUUAGCCGAAAAGUAAAAAUAAAAUGAAGUUGGGGUGCUUCUGUGAAUCACUGUGCUGUAUCCUUAAAACAGCACAUGAACACAACACUUUAAAUGCUGUAAUCCAUACAAUGCUGUUCAGCUUUAUGUGACGAAUAGUGACAUGAAUGCCUUAAAAUAAAGUAAUAAGUACUUUCUGAACUACUUCUCAACUUAUUUGUCUUUUCUUUCCAGUAAAAGACUGCAUUAAGUCUGUUCCUUUCUCUUACUCAUGACAUCACCAGUGUUAAAUUAAAUGUGAGUGCAAAAAGGCCUCUGUUAUUUAUAUUUGAAAAGGUCACUGCAUUAAGUUUCAAUUUAUUACUGAAGAUGCACCGAUGUAAAAGGCUAUUUUUCCCCGCUAUGGGCUAUCGGCCGAUAGUUUAAAAACAUCCGAUGAUCAGGGCCGAUUACAUCCUGUCAAUCA